CNGGAAUGGCGUUAUAGCCGACGAAACAUGCCACAAUUCGUCGGCUAUAGUUAAAUUUUUUUUUUCCAAAGGGUUUAGCCGACGAAUUAUAGCAUGUUUCGUCGGCUAAACACUACUAAAGCCGACGAAACAGACUCUAUGUCGUCGGCUAUAGUUAUUUUUAAAUAUUUUAAUUAUAUACUUUAGCCGACGAAUAUCUCUGUUCCGUCGGCUAAAGUCUGUGAGUAAAGCCGACGAAUAUUCUGUUCGUCGGCUUAAGUCUGAGAGUAUAGCCGACGACACAGGACGUCGUAGGCUAAAGUCUGGAACAAUAGCCGACAAAAAAUAGUUCGUCGGCUAAAGUCUGGACAAUAGCCGACGACAGUCUUUAGGUUCGUCGGCUAAAGCGAUCACCGACGACCCUUUCCCGACGACACUAUAGCCGACGAAGGCUCGUCGGCUAAGGUCUUAGCCGACGAAUUAGGAUAACAGGUCGACGAAAAUUUUUCGUCGGCUAAAGUACUUGUCCUGGUAGUGAGAGAAUAGUAAAGAGAAAAUGGUAUUGAUCAAGUUUGCUCAUUUUGUUGUAUGCUUAUUCAGAGUUAGGAGUUUAAUUAUAUGCUUUGUAUCAUACAUGCGUAUUAAGUCUGUUCCCCCCCCCCCCCCCUUUUUUUUUCCUUUUUGAUAGUGACCAAAACCGGGCGUUUCAAUUAAAAACCCUUUUGUGUCAAUUGUAGUAUAUAGCAAAUAAGGGUAUCAUUACAAGCCGGGGAUUGAGGGUACCUUUACAACUUACGUUAAUUACAAAACAAGAGAAAACAGAAGAUAAUAGUACUAGAGAUAUGGGGUUUUGUGAUUAUGAACAAAAGAAAACAAAGAAACAAAACAAAGCAGAAACGAUCAGAUGGAUGAGACGUUAGAGACUUGGAAAUCCACCACCAAGUAUGUUUCAAGACAUGUUAACAACCAAAGCUUCAAUCAUUAAGUCGCAAAUCGGUAUCAAUCAAGAACAAACCGUGAACGCACUGCGUAAGUCCUUAUUACUUCCCUUGAAUACUUAAGCAAGAUGAAUGCACCAUUACUAAGCCUUUAGAAUAACCGAUCAAGGUAUAGACGCUAUCCUAUCAACAAAUUAUUCUAAGCAUUAAGAUAAAUGGAAGUGAUUGAACAAAUAUGCAAAACUAGUGUGGAACGCCUACCUAGCAUGCAAUCUUUUUUAUUUGGU
rnacentral:lncRNA from 1 species